rnacentral:rRNA from 2 species
AUUGAUUGGUGCUUGCAUCAUGAUUUACAUUUGAGUGAGUGGCGAACUGGUGAGUAACACGUGGGAAACCUGCCCAGAAGCGGGGGAUAACACCUGGAAACAGAUGCUAAUACCGCAUAACAACUUGGACCGCAUGGUCCGAGUUUGAAAGAUGGCUUCGGCUAUCACUUUUGGAUGGUCCCGCGGCGUAUUAGCUAGAUGGUGGGGUAACGGCUCACCAUGGCAAUGAUACGUAGCCGACCUGAGAGGGUAAUCGGCCACAUUGGGACUGAGACACGGCCCAAACUCCUACGGGAGGCAGCAGUAGGGAAUCUUCCACAAUGGACGAAAGUCUGAUGGAGCAACGCCGCGUGAGUGAAGAAGGGUUUCGGCUCGUAAAACUCUGUUGUUAAAGAAGAACAUAUCUGAGAGUAACUGUUCAGGUAUUGACGGUAUUUAACCAGAAAGCCACGGCUAACUACGUGCCAGCAGCCGCGGUAAUACGUAGGUGGCAAGCGUUGUCCGGAUUUAUUGGGCGUAAAGCGAGCGCAGGCGGUUUUUUAAGUCUGAUGUGAAAGCCUUCGGCUCAACCGAAGAAGUGCAUCGGAAACUGGGAAACUUGAGUGCAGAAGAGGACAGUGGAACUCCAUGUGUAGCGGUGAAAUGCGUAGAUAUAUGGAAGAACACCAGUGGCGAAGGCGGCUGUCUGGUCUGUAACUGACGCUGAGGCUCGAAAGUAUGGGUAGCAAACAGGAUUAGAUACCCUGGUAGUCCAUACCGUAAACGAUGAAUGCUAAGUGUUGGAGGGUUUCCGCCCUUCAGUGCUGCAGCUAACGCAUUAAGCAUUCCGCCUGGGGAGUACGGCCGCAAGGCUGAAACUCAAAGGAAUUGACGGGGGCCCGCACAAGCGGUGGAGCAUGUGGUUUAAUUCGAAGCUACGCGAAGAACCUUACCAGGUCUUGACAUACUAUGCAAAUCUAAGAGAUUAGACGUUCCCUUCGGGGACAUGGAUACAGGUGGUGCAUGGUUGUCGUCAGCUCGUGUCGUGAGAUGUUGGGUUAAGUCCCGCAACGAGCGCAACCCUUAUUAUCAGUUGCCAGCAUUAAGUUGGGCACUCUGGUGAGACUGCCGGUGACAAACCGGAGGAAGGUGGGGAUGACGUCAAAUCAUCAUGCCCCUUAUGACCUGGGCUACACACGUGCUACAAUGGAUGGUACAACGAGUUGCGAACUCGCGAGAGUAAGCUAAUCUCUUAAAGCCAUUCUCAGUUCGGAUUGUAGGCUGCAACUCGCCUACAUGAAGUCGGAA